rnacentral:rRNA from 1 species
AAAGUUCCGAUUGAAAUAGGAUCUAAACAAGGAAGAGCACUUGCCAUUCGUUGGUUAUUAGAAGCAUCCCAAAAGUGUCCGGGUCAAAAUAUGGCUUUCAAAUUAUGUUCCAAAUUAGUAGAUGCUGCCAAAGGGAGUGGGGGUGCCAUACGCAAAAAGGAAGCAACUAUGGAAGGAGACCCAUCAUUUUGCAAUGAAAACAACAUAUAA